AUUGAACGCUGGCGGCAUGCUUUACACAUGCAAGUCGAACGGUAACAGGCCGCAAGGUGCUGACGAGUGGCGAACGGGUGAGUAAUGCAUCGGAACGCGCCCAGUCGUGGGGGAUAACUACUCGAAAGAGUAGCUAAUACCGCAUACGAUCUAUGGAUGAAAGCGGGGGACCGUAAGGCCUCGCGCGAUUGGAGCGGCCGAUGUCAGAUUAGGUAGUUGGUGGGGUAAAGGCUCACCAAGCCAACGAUCUGUAGCUGGUCUGAGAGGACGACCAGCCACACUGGGACUGAGACACGGCCCAGACUCCUACGGGAGGCAGCAGUGGGGAAUUUUGGACAAUGGGCGCAAGCCUGAUCCAGCUAUGCCGCGUGCAGGAAGAAGGCCUUCGGGUUGUAAACUGCUUUUGUACGGAACGAAACGGCUCUGGUUAAUACCCGGGGCUAAUGACGGUACCGUAAGAAUAAGCACCGGCUAACUACGUG
rnacentral:rRNA from 1 species